AUUAAUUGUUUUACUGUCAAGUAGUUUAAAAAUUAUUUUGAUCUAAUUUCAUUUUAAAGAGGGACCUUUUAGGUGAAUGUGUUACACCUACUAAAAUAUAUGUAAAUUUCUCCUUAGCUAUAUGCAAUAUUUAAGCAUUUAUUUUCAUUUCUUUAGGUUUUUUGUCAUAAUAAAAAUUUUUCUAUUACUACGCUGAUACUAUACAGUAGGCCUAAUUGUAUACUAAUUAUUAUGAUAGGUUAUUUUUAUUACGAUGCUAAGAUUUCGAUCAUUAGAUUUAAAUGUGUUUUUGUUAAUGUUAAUAUUUAUCAUAUUCAGUAAAAUAUUCAAAUCAAAAUGUUUAAAUCUUGUGUUUUAGCUUGAGAAACAUAUUUUACGGUCAGAAUCUGUUUAUAACCCACCAACAGUUAAAUAACCCCAUGAGCAAAAGUUAACUCAUCAAAAUGGAAGUUUUUCAGGCUGGAUAGUUAUUUCACUGUUACAAUUAAAAAAAUAUUGUUGGCCUAUUUAAUAUUAGGCCAUUAUAAUAAUAAUUAAGGUUAUGUAACUUAUUUAAAUAAAAUAUACUGACUAAACCUUACAGGUUCUAGUUGCUUUUAAUAUAUUUUACGACAGGUAACAGAUUCUGACCGGUUUGGGUUUUGUAACUUUUAUUCUAGUUCCUGCAGAUUCUGUGAUGCUAUUCGACACAGCAAUGCUACAGAUCUUGCCUACUACAUGAAACAGGCUUUCCAUAUUAAUAUAUUUUUCAGGUCUUGAAGUUUGCAGCGUUGUCUAGAAUUUGUCAUAGUCAAAAAAUCAUUUCUUUUAAAGAUGCAUGUGUAAUUCAGACCCAAAGUGAAUGAGUUUUAUAGUAUGUUCAAUUGUUUGAAACAUUUAAUUGUAGUUUAUUUGUUUGGAUUGUAGAUUGUACUGUAUUUAAUUGCCUGGAUAUUUCAAAGGUUUUCUGUUUGGUCAGCCUGACAGGUAUAAAGGUGUGAAAGGCGUGUACAAAUGUCAACGUUGUCACCGUGUUUACUCCGUGCAGACAACGCUCAACCGUCAUAUGAGGUACGAAUGUGGCGUCAACAACCUCUUCCAUUGCGGCAAGUGUCCGAAGGCGUACAAACGUCGCUACUUGCUGGCUGAACAUAUUAACAAGUAUGGCCACUAUUGAGAACCCUGAAGAAGCGUGGUGUUAGGUUUAGGAAAUUUGAAUACGUUCCAUCGAUAUCUAUAACUACAACUGGAGCACACGCUCUGUGCUACGUGAUUAGUCCAGCCGCUCGGCUCCAAAUAAUACUAAACUGUCUCUCAUUCACAUUUCAUUACAUCUUUUGCUUUAAUAUUAGGCCUACUGUCCACAAUAACUGGAUUUAAAUGCAUUACAGUUAUGCAUUAUAUCUGCAUGAAACUGCAGAUAUAAUGGUACAGGUUUUAUAUCAAAAUAGUUUGGUGCUUAUAAUGACGUAAACUAUACGAUCUACGUACUUUUGUGGCGAGUAAAACAGUGAAUCCUGCAUUUAAAUGGAGCAAUAUCAGUAAAGAUACAUAAGUUUUUAUCAAUGAAAACAAAGUAGCUUUGUAUGAAGUGUAUUGCUGCAGCCGUACACAGGUGGUUGGACUGAUAUGAGCCUAGUUUUGAGCGUUAUGGCUUGCAAUCCAGUCGUAGCUAUAGAGAUCGGUGGUUCCCUCUGAAGCUAUCAGUUUUGACCAAUGAAUGAUUUAAAAGACUAUCUUUAUAUAAAUAACGAAAAGUUGUAUAACUGGAAGUUGUGACUGUAAAGUAUUAUAGGAGAGAAUGAUUAAAGACUGUCAAGCAAUAACUUGUCCGGAUUUGGUUGGUUUGUAUGGGCUUAGGAGGGCACCUUUGAAUCCUAUUUAGAUUUAGUCUGUUUAUAAGAGGUCUCAACUCCAAAAAUAAGGUUAGGUUGUGAAUUUGCAUUAAAAUCACUGAAGUAUACGUUUUAAUUAUUUUACUUUGUUUUACAAGUUAAUUUUAACUUGGUACUUAUUAGUAUUUUUAUAAGACAGUAUUUUAGAGUCAGUUUUUCUAAUCCCUUAGUAGGCCUACUCUGUGAUAAGGUUAUUAAAUUAGUCUGAACUAAUGAUAAAUACUGUUGAGAGAAAACUAUUUUAUACUGUGUUUUCAACUAUCAUCAAAGUGGUUUUGCUCAAAGUAAUUUCUAUUUCUGUAAAAAACCAAUGUAAUAGGUUUCAAUGAGCAAAACAUUUUUAAUUGUAGGUUGUAGGAUUUUGAUUGUGUAUCAUUUUGUAUUUUCUAGUCCUAUGUAGUCUUUUGUGUGGGUUUAGUUUGUAGUUGUUUUACUAUGGUUUAAUUUAAAUUUAAUUUAAUCAUUGUGUGUUUAGGAAAUAUUUGUAUAUAUUACUGUUACCAUUGAAAACUCCUUUUACAAGACUGAUCCUUAACCACUGCAAUAUUUAAGACUGAUAUCCAUUAGCAAUAUAAGUUACUAUACUGAACAAUAUGUUUCAACAAAUAACAUUUAUUGACGAGCUAAAUAAUUUUGUUAUUGUCAAAGCCUAUUGAAAAACAUUUGAGUUUUAUAAUGGGAGUGCUUUGUUGAAUUUUUACGACGCAAACAUUAUUAUAUAAAAGAUAAGUAAUAUUCAGUAUAAAUUAAAAAUAUUCUUUAAUGAUUGAAACACAUAAUGUAAUAAAUAAUUUGUUGAUGUCUCAUUUAAAUUUACCAUAUUUUACCAUUCA